rnacentral:rRNA from 1 species
UGUUCACCAAAAACAUGUCUUUUUGAAUAUAAUUUAAAGUCAGGCCUGCCCACUGAAAAUUUUAAAGGGCCGCGGUAUUUUGACUGUGCAAAGGUAGCAUAAUCAUUUGUCUUUUAAUUGAAGGCUAGAAUGAAUGGUUUGAUGAAGUAUUAACUGUCUCAAUUUAAUAAAAAUAAAAAUUUAAUUUUUAAGUUAAAAAGCUUAAAUAUAUUUAAAAGACGAGAAGACCCUAUAGAUCUUUAUUAUUAUAAAUAAUAUAAUAUUAAGUAUAAAAUUUAUUUUAUUAUGACUAAUAAUUUUAUUGGGGUGAUAGGAAAAUUUAAUAAACUUUUUUUAUUUUAAACCAUAAAUUUAUGAAUAAUUGAUCCAUUUUUUAUGAUUAUAAGAUUAAGUUACCUUAGGGAUAACAGCAUAAUUAUUUUAGAGAGUUCUUAUCGAUAAAAUAGAUUGUGACCUCGAUGUUGAAUUAAAGAUUAUUUUUAGGUGUAGAAGUUUAAAAUAUAGGUCUGUUCGACCUUUAAAUCUU